CGAACACGAACGCGAACACGAACCCGAACCCCAACUCAAUCAAUAGUACUCCUACUUAUAAGCGAAACAGACCGUUCGCUUCGUCUAUCCAAUCAGAUGCUGACACGUCUUGAAUCCACGCCGCCGUCCCUGACAAAGCAGAAGUUCUGCAACUCUCUAUAAAGAGGUUGUGCUAACCUGGCCACCGUGAUGCUCUGAAAGUCUGAAGUCACCGCUGAUAAAUAAGUACAAGGUACAUAAACGCUGGCUAACUCCUUUGCAGUGAACGUCACCACCACCACUUCCAACAAUGGCAGACUUGUCGUGUCUCACGAUUCUCGGUUUCUGCUUCCUCACUUUCAACUCCGGCAUGGCCAUCUACCGCUCCAACGGCGACGCGGGCUCCAUAGUCUUCGUUGUGUUCUCUUACUUGAACCUGGUUGCCCUUGUCGCAUGUCUGCGACUUUAUAAAGAUUUGGACUAUCAUUCUCCUCGCCGGCAGACGAUCAAGGCAGCGGUCUGGACGCUCACCAGCCUCCUCACCGUCAUGUUCAGCUAUAAAGUCGCUGAAAUCAUGCCUCUGGCAGUCAAGAUUGUCGUCUGGACGAUGGCAGCGGCCACCACCUGCGGCGGCUUCUACGCCUUCUUCAUCCACCAGGACAAGGCUUACCAGCCUGUCCCGGCGGCGCCGGAGGCCCCUGCCCUGCGCAGGGAUGGAACCAACUAAGCGAACUAGUCGGAUGGACACUUGCCGCCGCCUGGUACGCUCCUCAGUGCUUACAGCGUCGAUGUGUAUUAGAUCUGGCCAACUAGAUUUUGUUUCUGUUCCCGUUCCCGCUUCGACUUUCUGGUGUACUGGAUCUGGAAUCUGGCAUCGUCGGAGGCACCGAUGUGGCCGACGGCAGAGGAGAUUUACUGUGCUUUUAGUCGCAAAAUCAAUAAAUUAAAGUUGCCUUGCUUUUGAUCAAAACAAGUCAAGUUGUUGUGCUGUUAAUCGGGGUCUCUGGCCUUCGAAUUGGGCGCAUGCUCUCCACGACGAGGAAGAAGCUUCCACCUCUUGAGAUAAAUGUUGCGGAUUGUGGCUGUGUGGGUCUGUACAGGGAACAUGUAGAAGUUCCAGAGAGAUUUCUUGGAUUUGUGUCUGUAAACAGUGAGUGGUUGCGACGCACUCUAGAUUGGGAGAACAUUAAGACAACUGGAGAAGCAAAGAAGACGAAGGACGAAAGAGGAUGAAGGAAGAAUAAGAUUGGGAGAAACGGACGCGCUCUAGAUUGGAAGAAGAUUAAGACAACUGGAGAAGCAAAGAAGGCGAAGGACGAAAGAGGAUGAAGAAGAAUAAGAUUGGGAGAAACGGACGCGCUCUAGAUUGGGAGAAGAUGAAGACAACUGGAGAAGCAAAGAAGGGAACGGCAAAACAAGACGACGAAAAACGAAGGAGGUUUGAAGCGUGGAAAGACCAGAGGAGGAACCUGAUGUAAGGAAGCAGAGAUUCAAGCGAAAAUGACUCAUGCUAUGAAACUUCAACUGCAUAGUAAAUACAAAAAAGCAUUCAGGAUGUCAUCCAAGGAACUUGAUUGACUGCAAAAUCCUUGAUUCACACUUUGUACCUAGAGUAUACUCGAGUUUUGUUAUCGGCAGAAAACCGUUGAUAUCUAGCUGGGGUAUUGGUAUCGAGAGUUA